GGUAAACGCUAGCGGCGUGCCUAAGGCAUGCAAGUCGAACGACCCCGGUUUACCGGGGAGUGGCGGACGGGUGAGUAACGCGUGAGAACGUACCCUCUAGUGAGGAAUAACCCACCGAAAGGUGGGCUAAUACCGCAUGAGACCGUGAGGUGAAAGGGUGUAACUACCCGCUAGAGGAGCGGCUCGCGUCCCAUCAGCUUGUUGGUAGGGUAAUGGCCUACCAAGGCAGUGACGGGUAGCUGGACUGAGAGGUUGGCCAGCCACAAGAGCACUGAGACACGGGCUCUACUCCUACGGGAGGCAGCAACUAGGAAUCGUAGACAAUGGGGGAAACCCUGAUCUCGCGACGCCGCGUGGAGGAUGAAGGCCUUCGGGUUGUAAACUCCUUUUAUAAGGGAAUAAGUCCCGCCUUUUCUGGGCAUAACUUUGACCCGGGAAGGUUUGGAUUGCGCCUAGAAAAGGCGGGAUUGACUGUACCUUAUGAAUAAGCCGCUGCUAACUACGUGCCAGCAGCCGCGGUGAUACGUAGGCGGCAAGCGUUACCCGGAAUUACUGGGCGUAAAGAGUGCGCAGGUGGUAAGGUAAGUUUUCGUUUAAAUACAUUGGCUUAACCAGUGGGUCGCGAAAAUACUGCCGUACUUUGAGAAAGUUAGGGGGUACCGGAACAGAUGGUGUAGUAGUGAUAUGCGUUGAUAUCAUCUGGAACACCCAAGGCGAAGGCAGGUACCUGGGGCUUUUCUGACACUGAUGCACGAAAGCGUGGGAGCGAACGGGAUUAGAUACCCCGGUAGUCCACGCCGUAAACUAUGGACACUAGAUAUCGGGCUGGUGACGGCUCGGUGUCGUAAGCUAACGCGUUAAGUGUCCCGCCUGGGGAGUACGGCCGCAAGGCUAAAACUCAAAGGAAUUGACGGGGACCCGCACAAGCAGGGGAACGUGUGGUUUAAUUCGAGACAAAACGAAGAACCUUACCAGGGUUUGACAUGUAUGUGGUAGGAACCCGAAAGGGCAACAACUCGCAAGAGAGCAUACACAGGUGCUGCAUGGCUGUCGUCAGCUCGUGCCGUGAGGUGUACCCUUAAGUGGGGUAACGAGCGCAACCCCUACGGUUAGUUGUAUCACUCUAGCCGGACUGCCCCGAUACAUCGGGGAGGAAGGAGGGGACGACGUCAAGUCCUCAUAGCCCUUAUGUCCUGGGCUACACACACGUUACAAUGGAUGUUAACAACAGGUCGCGAUCUUGUAAAAGUAAGCUAAUCCCUAAAAUGCAUCCUCAGUUGGGAUUGGGCUCUGCAAUUCGAGCCCAUGAACUAGGACUUGCUAGUAAUCGCAGGUCAGCAUACUGCGGUGAAUACGUUCUCGGGUCUUGUACACACCGCCCGUCAAGUGAGCAAAGUCGGGGGUAGCUGAAGCGCCAGCUUGCUGGCUCGAGGCUAAACUCGGCGAUGAGCGCU
rnacentral:rRNA from 1 species